UACGUAGGGGGCGAGCGUUGUCCGGAUUUAUUGGGCGUAAAGAGCUCGUAGGCGGUUUGGUAAGUCGGGUGUGAAAUCUCCACGCUCAACGUGGAGGGGCCACUCGAUACUGCCAUGACUCGAGUCCGGUAGAGGAGUGUGGAAUUCCCGGUGUAGCGGUGAAAUGCGCAGAUAUCAGGAGGAACACCGAUGGCGAAGGCAGAUCUCUGGGCCGUAACUGACGCUGAGGAGCGAAAGCAUGGGGAGCGAACAGG
rnacentral:rRNA from 1 species